GCGGUUAAAAAUUUUUUGGUUUUUAACCAAAAAAGAGAGGAGCCUACGCACAAAAAGCUGCGCGUACUCCAUACUGCGUAUGUAUUAUUUAUUAAUUUUCAACAAUAAAAAUAUUAAUUUAUUAUAAAUAAUAUUAACAUUAAAUAUUAUUUAUUUGAUGUCAAAAAAAUAUGAAUAAUUAAAUUAUGUUAACAAUAAUUCAAUCGUAGUGUCAACUGAAAAAUUUAUGAAUAAAAAAAGACAGUAAAAAAGUUGAUGGGUAUGUCAUAUUCAGCCAGAAUAUGAUAUUCAGUCCAGAGAGACUUGAUUAUUAUAAAAAGGAAAAGUGAGGUUAAACCCAGAGUUGACAGUCUACAUUUUUGUUGUUGAUAUGUCAUAUGUAUACCAAUUUUAACAAUGGGUCGUUCUGAAUCUGAGGUUUGGAAACAUUUUAAUGUUGUUGCAAAUCCUGAAUGCAAAUACAAGACAAGAAGUUUUAAAUAUUGUGGAAAAAAAUAUGUUUCAAAUGCUGGUAGAAUGACGAAGCAUCUUGCUCAAGAAUGUCAAAAUUGUGAUGAUGAAAUUUAAACAAAUUUUAUGGAAAUGAUUGUGCAAAAAAAUAAACUUGAUGUCAGACAAUCAUCUGAGCAAGUUGUAGCACUAAUUACAAAGAACAAAACAACUUAAAACAAAGGCUCAAUUGACAACCCUGGUGAAAUCAAUUUUGACAAAAUUUGCCAAAAUUAGUUAAAGUUUGCCAAAACCUUCAAUUUUUGGCAAACAUUGGCAAAUUUUGUCAAUCUUAAUAAAUUUUUUUUUUUGAUAAAUUUUGAAAACAUUUGACAAAAUUUGUCAAAUUUUGUCUAAUUUUGUCUCAUUUUGACAAAUUUUGUCAAUCUUAAUAAAUUUUUUCUUUUGAAAAAUUUUGAAAACAUUUGACAAAAUUUGUCAAUAUUUGUCAAUCUUAAUAAACUUUUUCUUUUGAUAAAUUUUGAAAACAUUAAAAAAGUUGUAAAUUAUAAUUUUUUUUUUUUGAUAAAUAUUGCCAAAAUUUGUCAAACUUUGCCAAAUUUUUUUUAAACCGUUAAUUUAGAAGAAACUAUAUGAAUUUGAUAAUUUUUUAAAAUUUAUCUAUAAACCGGAAGAUAUCGUUACCUUCUUUGCUACUGAUGAUAUUAAUUAAUUAGAACAAAAUAGAAAAUAAUAUAUUGAUGAAUGUUUCUCGCAUGCAGGCAUGUAAUGUUAUAUUGCACAAAUAUAGACAGAUUUCUAUAGAUGAUGUGUUAACUUAUGAAAAUGAUAUAUAACUGUCGGAAAUUGGGUACAUAAUAUGAUUAUGCAGACAACAUAACUAGGUUUUUUUUUUUUUUUUUUCAAUUCAAAUAAUUUUAGCAAAAUUUGACAAAAUUAGACUGUCCGUAAAUUGAGGAGUCCCAAUUUCCUUUCAAAAUUUGCCAAAUUUUGACUAAAUUUGCUAAAUUUUGACAAAUUUUGACUAAAUCUGACAAAAUUUGACAAAUAAUUUUUGACAAAUUUUGUCAAAAUUAUUUUCACCAGGGAAGUUUAUUGAUACUAAAAUGUCCAAAGAAAAUCAUGAUAAAUUGAAUGCUUCUUGUGCACGAGCAAUAUAUGCCAGAGCUUCAAUUAACAUUAUUGUACUUAAAAAAAGGUUACAAGUAUUAAAUUUUAAAGUUCAAAGUACACCAAAAAUUAAUCAUAUAAAAUUUAAAAACAUAUGUAGUUUUUAGUUGAGUUUGUCCUUUUUUUUUUUCUUUUUUUUCUCAUGAAAAAAUUGCUUAUUUUUUUGUUUUUUCCUUUUAAUUUUUUUUUUUAAGGACAAAUUGCAAGUGCAAAAUAUUGACAAACUUGAAAAUAAAAAGCUUUAUUAGUUUUCAACAAGUUCAUGGUAUAAAAAAAUAUAAAAAACGUUAACAUAUGGUAUAUUUCUUAAUUUGUAUUAUUCUACUUGUUACAAUAUUAUUGUAUAAUAUUGAAAAUAUUAUUAGUCUCAAUUUUUCUUCCAUUCAUUGCUACUAAUAAAUAUAAUAUAUGGAA